AGUGAACGCUGGCGGUAGACCUAACGCAUGCAAGUCGAACGGCAGCACAGAGGAGCUUGUUCCUUGGGUGGCGAGUGGCGGACGGGUGAGGAAUACAUCGGAAUCUACUCUGUCGUGGGGGAUAACGUAGGGAAACUUACGCUAAUACCGCAUACGACCUACGGGUGAAAGCAGGGGAUCUUCGGACCUUGCGCGAGUGAAUGAGCCGAUGUCGGAUUAGCUAGUUGGCGGGGUAAAGGCCCACCAAGGCGACGAUCCGUAGCUGGUCUGAGAGGAUGAUCAGCCACACUGGAACUGAGACACGGUCCAGACUCCUACGGGAGGCAGCAGUGGGGAAUAUUGGACAAUGGGCGCAAGCCUGAUCCAGCCAUACCGCGUGGGUGAAGAAGGCCUUCGGGUUGUAAAGCCCUUUUGUUGGGAAAGAAAUCCAUCUGGUUAAUACCCGGGUGGGAUGACGGUACCCAAAGAAUAAGCACCGGCUAACUUCGUGCCAGCCGCCGCCGUAA
rnacentral:rRNA from 1 species